GACGAACGCUGGCGGCGUGCUUAACACGUGCAAGUCGAACGGAAAGGCUCCAGCUUGCUGGAGUGCUCGAGUGGCGAACGGGUGAGUAACACGUGGGCAAUCUGCCCUGCACUCUGGGAUAAGCCUGGGAAACUGGGUCUAAUACCGGAUAGGACCUUUCUCCUCAUGGGGUUUGGUGGAAAGUUUUUCGGUGCAGGAUGAGCCCGCGGCCUAUCAGCUUGUUGGUGGGGUAAUGGCCUACCAAGGCGACGACGGGUAGCCGGCCUGAGAGGGUGAUCGGCCACAUUGGGACUGAGAUACGGCCCAGACUCCUACGGGAGGCAGCAGUGGGGAAUAUUGCACAAUGGGCGAAAGCCUGAUGCAGCGACGCCGCGUGAGGGAUGACGGCCUUCGGGUUGUAAACCUCUUUCAGUAGGGACGAAGCGCAAGUGACGGUACCUGCAGAAGAAGCACCGGCUAACUACGUG
rnacentral:rRNA from 1 species